rnacentral:rRNA from 1 species
AGAUAGCUUUGCUAUCUUUGCCGGCGAGCGGCGGACGGGUGAGUAAUGCCUAGGGAUCUGCCCAGUCGAGGGGGAUAACAGUUGGAAACGACUGCUAAUACCGCAUACGCCCUACGGGGGAAAGGAGGGGACCUUCGGGCCUUCCGCGAUUGGAUGAACCUAGGUGGGAUUAGCUAGUUGGUGAGGUAAUGGCUCACCAAGGCGACGAUCCCUAGCUGUUCUGAGAGGAUGAUCAGCCACACUGGGACUGAGACACGGCCCAGACUCCUACGGGAGGCAGCAGUGGGGAAUAUUGCACAAUGGGGGAAACCCUGAUGCAGCCAUGCCGCGUGUGUGAAGAAGGCCUUCGGGUUGUAAAGCACUUUCAGUAGGGAGGAAAGGUAGCAGCUUAAUACGCUGUUGCUGUGACGUUACCUACAGA